GACGAACGCUGGCGGCGUGCUUAACACAUGCAAGUCGAACGGAGUUAAGCGCUGGAUUGAUGGCAGCUUGCUGUUGGAUUUCCUUGCUUAACUUAGUGGCGGACGGGUGAGUAACGCGUGAGUAACCUGCCCUUGAGUGGGGAAUAACGUUCUGAAAAGAACGCUAAUACCGCAUAAUACAUAGUGACCGCAUGAUCAUUAUGUCAAAGAUUUAUCGCUGAAGGAUGGACUCGCGUCCGAUUAGCUAGUUGGUGAGGUAACGGCUCACCAAGGCGACGAUCGGUAGCCGGACUGAGAGGUUGAACGGCCACAUUGGGACUGAGACACGGCCCAG
rnacentral:rRNA from 1 species